UACAGAGGUCCCAAGCGUUGUUCGGAUUCACUGGGCGUAAAGGGUGCGUAGGUGGUUAGGUAAGUCCGAUGUGAAAUCUCCAGGCUCAACCUGGAAAUGGCAUUGGAUACUAUCUAGCUUGAGGAGUGGAGGGGGGACUGGAAUUCUCGGUGUAGCAGUGAAAUGCGUAGAUAUCGAGAGGAACACCAGUGACGAAGGCGAGUCCCUGGACACUUCCUGACACUGAGGCACGAAAGCUAGGGGAGCAAACAGG
rnacentral:rRNA from 1 species